rnacentral:rRNA from 1 species
CCUACGGGGUGCAGCAGUGAGGAAUAUUGGUCAAUGGACGAGAGUCUGAACCAGCCAAGUAGCGUGAAGGAUGACUGCCCUAUGGGUUGUAAACUUCUUUUAUAUGGGAAUAAAAUGUUCCACGUGUGGGAUUUUGUAUGUACCAUAUGAAUAAGGAUCGGCUAACUCCGUGCCAGCAGCCGCGGUAAUACGGAGGAUCCGAGCGUUAUCCGGAUUUAUUGGGUAUAAAGGGAGCGUAGGUGGAUUGUUAAGUCAGUUGUGAAAGUUUGCGGCUCAACCGUAAAAUUGCAGUUGAAACUGGCAGUCUUGAGUACAGUAGAGGUGGGCGGAAUUCGUGGUGUAGCGGUGAAAUGCUUAGAUAUCACGAAGAACUCCGAUUGCGAAGGCAGUUCACUGACUGCAACUGACACUGAGGCUCGAAAGUGUGGGUAUCAAACAGGAUUAGAUACCCUUGUAGUC